rnacentral:rRNA from 1 species
CCUACGGGAGGCAGCAGUGGGGAAUAUUGGACAAUGGGCGAAAGCCUGAUCCAGCAAUGCCGCGUGUGUGAAGAAGGCCUUCGGGUUGUAAAGCACUUUCAGAGGUGAGGAGAGGCUCAGGAUUAAUAAUCAUGAGAAGAGACGUAAGCCUCAGAAGAAGCACCGGCUAACUCUGUGCCAGCAGCCGCGGUAAUACAGAGGGUGCGAGCGUUAAUCGGAAUUACUGGGCGUAAAGCGUGCGUAGGCGGCGCAUCAAGUCAUAAGUGAAAGCCCCGGGCUUAACCUGGGAAUUGGUUAUGAGACUGAUGUGCUAGAGUGCGGGAGAGGGAAGUGGAAUUUCCGGUGUAGCGGUGAAAUGCGUAGAUAUCGGAAGGAACAUCAAUGGCGAAGGCAACUUCCUGGCCUAACACUGACGCUGAGGCACGAAAGCGUGGGGAGCAAACAGGAUUAGAUACCCUGGUAGUCCACGCCGUAAACGAUGAGAACUAGAUGUGGGUAGACUUAGGUCUGCACGUAUCGAAGCUAACGCGUUAAGUUCUCCGCCUGGGAGUACGGCCGCAAGGCUAAAACUCAAAUGAAUUGACGGGG